AAAACGACGAACGACUCAAAUCGGCGCGUUUUCCUUAAGCAUCCAUCGCUCCCGCCGCGAAAUUUGCAGAGACCGAGAGUUUCCCGAGUCGAGUCGAGUCGCGUCGCACGAGUCUCCGCCGCCCCGCAUCGCCGACGCCGAUCGGGGUCAUGGUGGGAGACUCUUCGCCGCGCCGGAAACCGAACCCUAACUCCGAUCUCGCCGUCCCGAGCAACGACGCCAAGAAGAGGGCGGCGGCGGCGGCGACGGCGACCGCGAAGAGGAAGAGCGAAUUUGAGUUCUGCAAAGUCUGCAGGCACAAUCACGAUCAAGGACAGCGUCACAAGUACUUUCCGAACCACAAGAGAUCACUCUCCGAGUACCUCAAUCGGUUCCGCUCCAAAUUGGCCGACGUCCGGUUCUUUCUCGACAACCCUAGCCCGCUCCGCCCCGAGCACGUUUCUCGCAAUCGGUUCUGGUGCGUCUUCUGCGAUAUCGACAUCGAGGAGCUCGAUAGUCCGUUCGCCUGCGGGAAUGCAAUUAAUCACCUAGCGGGUGCAGAUCACCUCAAGAAUCUGAAGCAUUUUAUUUGGAAAAAUGGUGGUGCAAUGGACCGCCUGGAUGAUUUCAGGAUUUUGGAUGACGAUGUAGCUAAGUGGGAGAAGAAAUGCGAAACAUUGAAGAAAGAAGCCGUGUUAUCUGGAGAAGGAUCACAUGGACCAAUAUGUGGACCGUCAAAUGAUAUCCAAAUUGAACAAAACUAUGGGAUUGUCGAGAAUUUUAGGAAUAAUUCUGUAUAUCAUCCUCAUGAAAACUUUUUGAAUGCUGUUAUGCCUUUACAAUAUUAUACGAAUGAGUAUCAGAUAUCCCAUACUGGACCUAAUGGGGUUCCGAGCACUUGUGGUGCAUCUCACACUUCCACCUUUUCAUUGCCUGCGGAGAAAUAUCCUGAAGUAUUACUCCAGAGCUCUAGUGGUUCAACAGGGAAUGGAAGUAUGCAGUGCCCCAGUCUCCAUCGAGAUAGGAACAAGAACUUUGUUUCCAAUGGUUUCAUUGGCGAUAGUGUUGGAGGGACGAUGAAAGGAGACAGCAGCUAUCAAGGUCUGCAGCUGCUCACUCAGAUUUCUUCCUCAUCUCAAAUGGAUGUUCAAGGAAAUGUGCACUCUGGAGCACCACCUCCUUGGUUGGAUGCUUCUGAACGAAGGCAGACAGACAACCACAGACAGCUACCAUCAGUUAGCGUAAUUUCUCCUUCUAAUAAGCCAGGAAAGUCCAAGAAGUUAAACCCUAAAAGGGUGGGCGCUGCUUGGGCUGAAAGGAGAAAGAUUGAGAUGGAGAUGGAGAGAAGAGGAGAAAUAAUUAAGAGCUGCAAUGAUGCUGAAUGGCUUCCAAAUUUUGGCCGUGUUUGGCAGGCAGGCAGUCGAAAGGAAUCAAGAAAAGAAUUUGAGGUGGAGAAAAGAAAAUUGCCUAGUGUUGAAACUCAACCUGAGAUGCCAACAGAUGUACAGCCGUACGUCAGCAAGCGAUUGCGCAGAGAUGUAAACAAGUGAGAUUUGGUUGAUCUUGACAGUGUAAAUAUAUCUGCGAAGCUUCAGAUUGUGUUUGGAGCCUCUGGGUCGCUUCCACUUGGUCCAUCCACCACUACAAGAUCCCACUUUGUUUUGUACACUUCUUGUGGCAAACCUGUUAGAGCCAACCGGCAUUUUGACUGCCGAAGCAGUGCAGCCCCAGGUGCACAGGUCGAACUUCUCCUUGCAUGCUUGAGCAGUUCAUACGCCUCUUUUGCUGGUACAUUGUACUGUACCUUGUAUAUCUGAGUGCUGCUAGAUAUCUCUGUCCUAUAAUUCGUGAACUUAUUAGGAUCAUCCUCCAGUAUGAUUGUAGUGCCUCCUGCAUUUAUUGAUGAGAGGCUGAGGUAUUGUGGCUCAAGACCAAAGAUGAGAAGGUUGCAAGGUCUCCUCUGCUUGACGAGGUUUGAUAGAAGCCUAAAUUCCUUACCUGUUAGUGAGGUGGUGUAGGCAGGCGGUGUGAAAGUUGAGUUGCCUGCUAUUCCCGUUAGAACCUUACUGCAUGAUAAAGGAGAGGUGCAUGCGUGUUGCACAUGUGGAGGCAAAGCUGGAAGUGGGUGCGGAGAUGAAGUGGUGAUGACGAUUCGGACGAAUCUAAGGAUGGAUAUGGAUGCAAGGAUCAAUACGAAAACUGGUAUGAGUUUCCUUACGCUAAAUUUCAUCUUCCUAGUUCCUCUGAGUGAUUUGUGUUUGAAAGUUUGGUUGCCUUCUACCUCAGAAGGGGCUGGAGGAGAGUAGCGAAUGAGGGGUGUUGCGAGAGUGGAGGACAGAGGUACUUCUGGGGGCAUUUUCCUCUCUUUCCUCUCACCACAUCUACAGCCACCUUCACAUCAUCUUCAUAGUGUUGUAGUGGGAAGGUUUUUGACACUUUAAGUUGCUUUUGAUAGGAAUCUUUAGUAUCCUUCUAGCGUGAGGAAGAAGGACAGGUUUUUGCUUCAAUUUCAAGAGAUCUUUACGAGCUGUCAGCUGGUCACCUAACUGCAUUGUGUCAAAAUCAGAUUUGCCUACGUUUGUAUCUUCAUUAGAGAAACAUCAGAUGGUUGGUGUUUCAAUCAUUUAGCAUAUGAUGGUGGUUGACAUAUUCUGAUGUGGGUCGCUGGGAAUGCUGCUCUUUUGUGGAUAGUUUGAAGUUGAAGAAUGCAAAUUAGUUGGAAGGCCAUUGUCUCAAAAUGAUGGGUGGACAGCUUGUGAUGGAGACGGAUCUUGUUCGAAUGAAAAGUGAAAGUGCCCUCUUGAAGUCAACAUAAGAGGUUCGAUUCAGCCCAAUGAGAUCUAGCCACAAUCUUUGCCAAUUCUCGGAUGAAGGGUCAUUGUUCUUGCCAGGGGACUGAUUAUGCAAAUGUGCGCGAUAAAAGUAAUUUGAAGACACCAAAAAUAAUCAUUCAAUCAUUAAGAUGGCUGGGGUUUGAAUAGCAA